rnacentral:rRNA from 1 species
CCCUUAGAUGUCCUGGGCCGCACGCGCGCUACACUGAGUGUCUGAGAUACGAGUCUGCCUAGCCGGCGAGGUCUAGGUAAUCGCUGAAAGACACAUCAUGCUUGGGAUAGAUUAUUGCAGAUAUUAAUCUUGAACGAGGAAUUCCUAGUAAGCGCAAGUCAACAGCUUGCGUUGAUUACGUCCCUGCCCUUUGUACACACCGCCCGUCGCUACUACUGAUUGGAUGUUUAAGCGAGGUUCUCGAACUGCUAGCGACUUAGCUUCGGUGAGGUCGCCGUGUGGGAAGUGAACCUAGCCUUGGUGUCUAGAGGAAGUAAAAGUCGUAUCA